rnacentral:rRNA from 1 species
AUUGAACGCUGGCGGCAGGCCUAACACAUGCAAGUAGAACGAGUGGCGGACGGGUGAGUAAUGUCUGGGAAACUGCCUGAUGGAGGGGGAUAACUACUGGAAACGGUAGCUAAUACCGCAUACCAUCAGAUGUGCCCAGAUGGGAUUAGCUUGUUGGUGGGGUAACGGCUCACCAAGACGAAGAUCCCUAGCUGGUCUGAGAGGAGGACCAGCCCCACUGGAACUGUGACACGGUCCAGACUCCUACGGAGGGCAGCAGUGGGGAAGAUUGCACAAUGGGCGAAAGCCUUAUGCAGCCAUGCCGCGUGUUUGAAGAAGGCCUUCUGGUUGUAAAGUACUUUCAGCGGGGAGGCGUUACCCGCAGAAGAAGCACCGGCUAACUCCGUGCCAGCCGCCGCGGUAAUAC